GAUGAACGCUGGCGGCGUGCCUAAUACAUGCAAGUCGAGCGAACAGACGAGGAGCUUGCUCCUCUGACGUUAGCGGCGGACGGGUGAGUAACACGUGGAUAACCUACCUAUAAGACUGGGAUAACUUCGGGAAACCGGAGCUAAUACCGGAUAAUAUAUUGAACCGCAUGGUUCAAUAGUGAAAGACGGUUUUGCUGUCACUUAUAGAUGGAUCCGCGCCGCAUUAGCUAGUUGGUAAGGUAACGGCUUACCAAGGCAACGAUGCGUAGCCGACCUGAGAGGGUGAUCGGCCACGCUGGAACUGAGACACGGUCCAGACUCCUACGGGAGGCAGCAGUAGGGAAUCUUCCGCAAUGGGCGAAAGCCUGACGGAGCAACGCCGCGUGAGUGAUGAAGGUCUUCGGAUCGUAAAACUCUGUUAUUAGGGAAGAACAAAUGUGUAAGUAACUAUGCACGUCUUGACGGUACCUAAUGAAAGCCACGGCUAACUACGUG
rnacentral:rRNA from 1 species